rnacentral:lncRNA from 1 species
GGAUCAAGCAAGAGCGGGCGUCGUGGCCGACUAUACCACAGAAAUAACAGAACCGUGGCAUACGCUCAUACUUAACGUCGUACCUCGUCGGGCUGGUGUCUGCCUUGUCCUGGAUGCGAACCUCGCUCUCGAUGGGCUUCGUGAUGUCGUGCUCGAUCCUGACGCGGAGGAAGUCAUCCCACACCUUUCCGUGGUUGUCGGCGAAGACCAUCCUGACUGGAC